CGCGUAGUCUCGCGAGAGUAAGCACCUGGGAGAGAAUGACUAACACGGAAGCACAGAGGAGAAAGGAAAACAAAACACCUGUCACUAACUAUUAAAACGAAGAUUCAAGUGAAAAAUGUCGGAGGAUUUCGAUAUAAGGCAAGAGGAGACUGAGAUUUUUGCGCGCUUCUCCCCGGAGCUUACAUUGUGCAUUUCGCGGCGCCUACGUCAUACUCUCAACCGCCUUGUCGGGACCGCGCCUGCUCGAGGGACUGGAAGCUGGACUAAACGGUUUAUAAAGUUUUAAGAAUUUUUCUUAAACUAACGCAUCGUUUCGCUUCAGAAGUCCUUUAUUAACACCCCGGAGCCGUGUGGAGUAGUUUUGCGAUGGAUGGGUACUUUUUUUUCAGAUUCAGAAACAGGGGCACCAUUCACUGCAAUUAUACAGAUUGGAACAGACAGGACAAUGUUGAAUAUAACUCCGAAUGUGUUCAUCUGAAAGAGGAAUGUCAGACACGCCUAGGAUGACCUGAGGGGCUCUCUGUUGGAGUAGGAUUAUCGGCAUUCAGGAAAUAAAUUCUUCAAUAUGUAUUGCCAAAGAAAGUGAAUCUGCUCAGCAUACAGGUGACACACUCUGUAAAUGACAGCUGUAGCAGGACAUGGAACAAGGGAGGCUUUUCAUCACAGGGAUGAUCAGAGAGGACUAUGUCAAUUAUCUGCUUACGUAGGCUGAUCUGCAAGUGCUCUUGGAUGCUUUUCACACUCGUAAGAGCUGCCACUUGGGAUCGUGGUUGACCUUCUUUAAUAACAAGAGCAUCAUCUUAACACUUGAAGAUAAUUACCAAUGAGUAUGUGAUCAAACGUAUAGCAUCAAUCAAAGUGAUAAAGGAAAGAACAAGAUGGUUGAGGAAAUACUUAAUGGGUACAAGAUGGGAACUAGAAUGAAAAAAACAAAAAAUGAAAGAAAAAAAACGAUAUACUUUAAUGACAACCUGUUUCUUUAUUGUCUGCUGGUCGUUGUCUCUUUCUCUUUAUCUCCCCAGGCAGAGUCAACUGUCAAGACCUUGCAUCAAUAUUCAGACACACUUUUGGAUUCCUACUCUCUCUUUCUCUCUCAAUCUGUCUCAUCCACAAAUUUGCAGAUAACCUCAAAUUCAAGGUCCACGCUGCUGACAGCUGGGUGUUGCUUUAUUAUUUUUGACAGUUAUUCAAUGUGGCACAAAUCUGAAGAAGUGAGAAGAAAAACCAAAUAUGGACUGAGAUUGCUUUGUUUUAACAUGUAGCAUAAGAUACCUGGGACCAAAUGACAUUUUAUUUUUAAGAUUUUACUUUUUUCAGUUUUUUCCCUAGUCUGGAGGAUAAAAAGCCUGUGUUUGUGCGUGUGUGUGUUUUUCCCAUUCUAAAUACCUUCUACUAUUCCAGUUUAAAUUGAAAAGACUACAAGUAAGACUUUUGUAAGAUUAUACAUCCCAAAUGUAAAGAGAGUGGCAAUGUGAUACUUCAAAAACACUGCUGUUUGUUUGAGCAAUCUGACUCAACAAGUUUAGCUCAAACAAUAUCAUCAGAGUUUGGCAUGGGGCUAUGCAAAAUAUCAAUAACAUAUAUUUCAUCCAGAUAUUUUUAACAUAAUGUCUCAGAUUUUACAUUAACACACAUGGAGGGAAACUUGGCUAUUAUUUUUGCAAUUCUGAUUGUUGCCGCUAGUGCUUAUUGUGCUUAUUGAAUAAUAAAGCUAAUAAAGAAGUUUAAGAGUCCAUCUAUCUAAUGAUGUGAUGCCACUUAGACAACAUGGCUGCUGCAAAAACAUCCCCAAUCCACUGUCAAAAACUAAGAAAUAAAAAAUGGAACGCUUCCCUAAACAUCUGUCUGAGCAUCUGGAACAUCUAGUGUUGACUGUAGAUGGUGAGUCAGAAAACCACACAGGUAUUGGUUGAUUUUAUGAUUCAGAUCAGUCUAAUUGUUAACUAUUCCCUGUUGUUUUGUAUUUAGCUGUCUCAUCCCCUCUUUGGCUUCCAUUAUUCAUCCUGUUGUUGAAGGUGGGAAUAAUAAAAAAAAAAAACAGCCUAAAUCGAAACUCUCAAAUUUUUCUGCGACAAGCGCAAACAUUUAAGUGCUUUACUUUGACAAGAUUCAUUGUCUUGCUUUGUUGUCCUGCCUCGUAUUGCGUUGACAGGCAACAAAAAAGACGAGAAGCAGCAGGAGAAGUGCCUGAUUCCUGCAACCUUUCAUCUCUCCCACAUUCACAUCUCAUCUCACCCUGUUUUUCUACUAGUUUCCUGGAGUGCGUCAUCUUUGACUCACCUGUCAUCCUCUUUUUUUCUUCUCAUUUUUCAUACAUUAUUUUGUUCUGCACUUUCAUUGUGAUCCUUUUUUGGAUACAUACUGUACGCUUUGUAAUCUCAGUAUACUGCAGGAUAGCGUGCUAUAACAUUUACUCAGCAGCAGUCUCUCUCUUUAUCACUCCACUUUCUGUGCACUGCACCAUUCGCUCGCCACUUCCCAUUCACACUGGGUUGUCAUUCCUAUCUUUAAUGUGUUUCUAUUUACUCAUAUCAUUUUGCUGUGACAGCGCCUGAGCUUGUCCAGGAGAGUGGAAUCUUUGAUCGGCAUGGUGGCAUUCCAUCAUUUUCCACGACUCCACUUUUUCUUGACAAAGUACUCCAAGUUAGAAUGUUUUAGCAGACAAGAGCCCAUCUCCAACACCAACAUCUGCUUUCCUGCAUUGUUGGCAGCAAGCACCAUUCAAACUCCCUGGGAAAGAAUGUCACUGACUCUGGUAUUCUCUCCCCACUUGAAUUCUCCUGGAAAAGGUGGCCACAGUUUCCUUGCACAGACACGGUAUCAUUUUGUUUACACAUUUUUAAUUUGUUAUUUUUAUGUUUGGAUAAAAAAUAUCAUGUAGAUUUAGUCUGUAUUUGUGCAAUAUCAUAUUCACACCAUAUUAAUUAGUUUUACUCGGAAGAAAAUGAUAUCUAAUUAUAGUCAGUGAAAAUAACACUGUAGUACAAAAUAAAAUAACAACUUGAACUCUUGAAAUAACAUUGUGAGUAUACUAUAUAUAAAGUUGGUAAUUCUUUGUGCUUUAGUUAUUCAUUGUCCAUGUUUUAGACCUUCUUUAGAAUGUUGUUACAGAAAGACUGAAUUCACAUA